AUUGAACGCUGGCGGCAGGCCUAACACAUGCAAGUCGAACGAGUGGCGGACGGGUGAGGCAUGUCUGGGAACCUGCCUGAUGGAGGGGGAUAACUGCUGAAAACGGUAGCUAAUACCGCAUACCAUCGGAUAGGCAGAGAUUGGAUUAGCGAGUAGGUGGGGUAAAGGCUCACCGAGGCGACGAGCCCUAGCUGGUCUGAGAGGAGGACCGGCCAAACUGGAACUGAGACACGGUCCAGACUCCUACGGGAGGCAGCAGUGGGGAAGAUUGCACAAUGGGCGCAAGCCUGAUGCAGCCAUGCCGCGUGUAUGAAGAAGGCCUUCGGGUUGUAAAGUACUUUCAUCGGGGAGGCGUUACCCGCAGAAUAAGCAACGGCUAACUCCGUGCCAGCCGCCGCGGUAAUAC
rnacentral:rRNA from 1 species